rnacentral:rRNA from 1 species
GAUGAACGCUGGCGGCGUGUUUAACACAUGCAAGUCGAGCGAGAAGUUUUGAAAAGAUUCUUCGGAUGCAAUUUAAAAUGGAAAGCGGCGGACGGGUGAGUAACGCGUAGGCAACCUGCCCCAUACAAAGGGAUAGCAUUUGGAAACGAAUAUUAAUACCUUAUGAAACUUAACUAGUGCAUGCUAGGUAGGUCAAAGAUUUAUCGGUAUGGGAUGGGCCUGCGUCUGAUUAGCUAGUUGGUGAGGUAACGGCUCACCAAGGCGACGAUCAGUAGCCGACCUGAGAGGGUGAACGGCCACAUUGGAACUGAGACACGGUCCAAACUCCUACGGGAGGCAGCAGUGGGGAAUAUUGCACAAUGGGGGAAACCCUGAUGCAGCAACGCCGCGUGAACGAUGAAGGCCUUUGGGUCGUAAAGUUCUGUUCUAGGUGAUGAAAACUGACAGUAACCUAGGAGAAAGCCCCGGCUAACUCCGUG